UGACCAACCUGCCCCUUGCUCUGGGAUAACCCCGGGAAACCGGAGCUAAUACCGGAUACGAGACCGUGCGGCAUCACGCGGUCUGGAAAGUUUUUCGGCAAGGGAUGGGGUCGCGGCCUAUCAGCUUGUUGGUGGGGUAAUGGCCUACCAAGGCGACGACGGGUAGCCGGCCUGAGAGGGUGACCGGCCACACUGGGACUGAGACACGGCCCAGACUCCUACGGGAGGCA
rnacentral:rRNA from 1 species